AGUGAACGCUGGCGGUAGGCCUAACACAUGCAAGUCGAACGGCAGCACAGUAAGAGCUUGCUCUUACGGUUGGCGAGUGGCGGGCGGGUGAGGAAUACAUCGGAAUCUACUUUUUCGUGGGUGAUAACGUAGGAAAACUUACGCUAAUACCGCAUACGACCUACGGGUGAAAGCAGGGGAUCUUCGGACCUUGCGCGAUUGAAUUAGCCGAUGUCGGAUUAGCUAGUUGGCGGGGUAAAGGCCCACCAAGGCGACGAUCCGUAGCUGGUCUGAGAGGAUGAUCAGCCACACUGGAACUGAGACACGGUCCAGACUCCUACGGGAGGCAGCAGUGGGGAAUAUUGACAAUGGGCGCAAGCCUGAUCCAGCCAUACCGCGUGGGUGAAGAAGGCCUUCGGGUUGUAAAGCCCUUUUGUUGGGAAAGAAAAGCAGCAGGUUAAUACCCCGCUGUUCUGACGGUACCCAAAGAAUAAGCACCGGGUAACUUCGUG
rnacentral:rRNA from 1 species